GAUGAACGCUGGCGGCGUGCCUAAUACAUGCAAGUCGAGCGAAUGGAUUAAGAGCUUGCUCUUAUGAAGUUAGCGGCGGACGGGUGAGUAACACGUGGGUAACCUGCCCAUAAGACUGGGAUAACUCCGGGAAACCGGGGCUAAUACCGGAUAACAUUUUGAACCGCAUGGUUCGAAAUUGAAAGGCGGCUUCGGCUGUCACUUAUGGAUGGACCCGCGUCGCAUUAGCUAGUUGGUGAGGUAACGGCUCACCAAGGCAACGAUGCGUAGCCGACCAGAGAGGUGGAUCGGCCACACUGGGACUGAGACACGGCCCAGACUCCUACGGGAGGCAGCAGUAGGGAAUCUUCCGCAAUGGCCGAAAGUCUGACGGAGCAACGCCGCGUGGGUGAUGAAGGCUUUCGGGUCGUAAAACUCUGUUGUUAGGGAAGAACAAGUGCUAGUUGAAUAAGCUGGCACCUUGACGGUACCUAACCAGAAAGCCACGGCUAACUACGUGCCAGCAGCCGCAGUAA
rnacentral:rRNA from 1 species